rnacentral:rRNA from 1 species
AGAUUGAACGCUGGCGGCAGGCCUAACACAUGCAAGUCGAGCGGCAGCACGGGUACUUGUACCUGGUGGCGAGCGGCGGACGGGUGAGUAAUGCCUAGGAAUCUGCCUGGUAGUGGGGGAUAACGCUCGGAAACGGACGCUAAUACCGCAUACGUCCUACGGGAGAAAGCAGGGGACCUUCGGGCCUUGCGCUAUCAGAUGAGCCUAGGUCGGAUUAGCUAGUUGGUGAGGUAAUGGCUCACCAAGGCGACGCUCCGUAACUGGUCUGAGAGGAUGAUCAGUCACACUGGAACUGAGACACGGUCCAGACUCCUACGGGAGGCAGCAGUGGGGAAUAUUGGACAAUGGGCGAAGCCUGAUCCAGCCAUGCCGCGUGUGUGAAGAAGGUCUUCGGAUUGUAAAGCACUUUAAGUUGGAGAAGGCAGUUACCUAAUACGUAUCUGUUUGACGUUACGACAGAAUAAGCACCGGCUAACUCUGUG